rnacentral:tRNA from 1 species
CGGCGAUCGAGGACCUGGACAGCCCUCGCGGUCGGGCCGCGGUGCGGCGGAUCAACCAGAUGCACCGGAUGUACGACAUCUCCAACGACGAC